AACGCAGCACGGAAGUCAUAAUGAUAUCUCAGAAAAUGAUAGAUUGAUAAGUCAAUCAAAUAAUCAUAGCACUACAAAAGCAGCUGUGGAUAAGAGCUCACCAACGAUUCCCAAUUAAG